UGGGGAAUUUUGGACAAUGGGCGAAAGCCUGAUCCAGCAAUGCCGCGUGUGUGAAGAAGGCCUUCGGGUUGUAAAGCACUUUUGUCCGGAAAGAAAUCCUUGGCUCUAAUACAGUCGGGGGAUGACGGUACCGGAAGAAUAAGCACCGGCUAACUACGUGCCAGCAGCCGCGGUAAUACGUAGGGUGCAAGCGUUAAUCGGAAUUACUGGGCGUAAAGCGUGCGCAGGCGGUUUGCUAAGACCGAUGUGAAAAUCCCCGGGCUCAACCUGGGAACUGCAUUGGUGACUGGCAGGCUAGAGUAUGGCAGAGGGGGGUAAAUUCCACGUGUAGCAGUGAAAAUGCGUAGAGAUGUGGAGGAAUACCGAUGGCGAAGGCAGCCCCCUGGCAAGUCACUGACGCUCAUGCACGAAAAGCGUGGGGGAGCAAAACAGGAUUAGAUACCCUGGUAGUCCACGCCCUAAAACGAUGUCAACUAGUUGUUGGGGAUUCAUUUCCUUAGUAACGUAGCUAACGCGUGAAGUUGACCGCCUGGGGGAGUACGGUCGCAAGAUUAAAAACUCAAAUGAAUUGACGGGGGUCAUAGCUGUUUCCU
rnacentral:rRNA from 1 species